UACGUAGGGUGCAAGCGUUGUCCGGAAUUAUUGGGCGUGAAGAGCUUGUAGGCGGUUUGUCGCGUCUGCUGUGAAAUUUCGGGGCUCAACCCCGAACUUGCAGUGGGUACGGGCAGACUAGAGUGUGGUAGGGGAGACUGGAAUUCCUGGUGUAGCGGUGAAAUGCGCAGAUAUCAGGAGGAACACCGAUGGCGAAGGCAGGUCUCUGGGCCGAUACUGACGCUGAGGAGCGAAAGCGUGGGGAGCGAACAGG
rnacentral:rRNA from 1 species